GACAGAGGGUGCUAGCGUUGUUCGGAAUUACUGGGCGUAAAGGCGCGUAGGCGGCUUGGCAAGUGGAAGGUGAAAUCCCUCGGCUUAACCGAGGAACUGCCUUCCAGACUGCUUUGCUUGAGGCCGGGAGAGGCGAGUGGAAUUCCAGUGUAGCGGUGAAAUGCGUAGAUAUUGGAGGAACACCAGUGGCGAAGGCGGCUCGCUGGACCGGUUCUGACGCUGAGGCGCGAAAGCGUGGGGAGCAAACGGG
rnacentral:rRNA from 1 species